rnacentral:rRNA from 1 species
UACGUAGGGGGCAAGCGUUAUCCGGAUUCACUGGGUGUAAAGGGAGCGUAGACGGCGACGCAAGUCUGGAGUGAAAGCCCGGGGCCCAACCCCGGGACUGCUCUGGAAACUGCGUCGCUGGAGUACGGGAGGGGCAGGCGGAAUUCCUGGUGUAGCGGUGGAAUGCGUAGAUAUAUGGAAGAACACCAGUGGCGAAGGCGGCUCUCUGGUCUGCAACUGACGCUGAGGCUCGAAAGCAUGGGUAGCGAACAGG